ACACAUGCAAGUCGAACGAUGAAGCCCUUCGGGGUGGAUUAGUGGCGAACGGGUGAGUAACACGUGGGCAAUCUGCCCUUCACUCUGGGACAAGCCCUGGAAACGGGGUCUAAUACCGGAUAAUACCUGCCUGGGCAUCUGGGUGGGUUAAAAGCUCCGGCGGUGAAGGAUGAGCCCGCGGCCUAUCAGCUUGUUGGUGAGGUAGUGGCUCACCAAGGCGACGACGGGUAGCCGGCCUGAGAGGGCGACCGGCCACACUGGGACUGAGACACGGCCCAGACUCCUACGGGAGGCAGCAGUGGGGAAUAUUGCACAAUGGGCGAAAGCCUGAUGCAGCGACGCCGCGUGAGGGAUGACGGCCUUCGGGUUGUAAACCUCUUUCAGCAGGGAAGAAGCGAAAGUGACGGUACCUGCAGAAGAAGCGCCGGCUAACUACGUGCCAGCAGCCGCGGUAAUACGUAGGGCGCAAGCGUUGUCCGGAAUUAUUGGGCGUAAAGAGCUCGUAGGCGGCUUGUCACGUCGGUUGUGAAAGCCCGGGGCUUAACCCCGGGUCUGCAGUCGAUACGGGCAGGCUAGAGUGUGGUAGGGGAGAUCGGAAUUCCUGGUGUAGCGGUGAAAUGCGCAGAUAUCAGGAGGAACACCGGUGGCGAAGGCGGAUCUCUGGGCCAUUACUGACGCUGAGGAGCGAAAGCGUGGGGAGCGAACAGGAUUAGAUACCCUGGUAGUCCACGCCGUAAACGGUGGGAACUAGGUGUUGGCGACAUUCCACGUCGUCGGUGCCGCAGCUAACGCAUUAAGUUCCCCGCCUGGGGAGUACGGCCGCAAGGCUAAAACUCAAAGGAAUUGACGGGGGCCCGCACAAGCAGCGGAGCAUGUGGCUUAAUUCGACGCAACGCGAAGAACCUUACCAAGGCUUGACAUCGCCCGGAAAGCAUCAGAGAUGGUGCCCCCCUUGUGGUCGGGUGACAGGUGGUGCAUGGCUGUCGUCAGCUCGUGUCGUGAGAUGUUGGGUUAAGUCCCGCAACGAGCGCAACCCUUGUUCUGUGUUGCCAGCAUGCCCUUCGGGGUGAUGGGGACUCACAGGAGACUGCCGGGGUCAACUCGGAGGAAGGUGGGGACGACGUCAAGUCAUCAUGCCCCUUAUGUCUUGGGCUGCACACGUGCUACAAUGGCAGGUACAAUGAGCUGCGAUGCCGCGAGGCGGAGCGAAUCUCAAAAAGCCUGUCUCAGUUCGGAUUGGGGUCUGCAACUCGACCCCAUGAAGUCGGAGUUGCUAGUAAUCGCAGAUCAGCAUUGCUGCGGUGAAUACGUUCCCGGGCCUUGUACACACCGCCCGUCACGUCACGAAAGUCGGUAACACCCGAAGCCGGUGGCCCAACCCCCUUGUGGGGAGGGAGCUGUCGAAGGUGGGACUGGCGAUUGGGACGAAGUCGUAACA
rnacentral:rRNA from 1 species